UAAGAUGGCUGAAAGCAAGUACUG
rnacentral:tRNA from 1 species